AUUGAACGCUGGCGGCAGGCUUAACACAUGCAAGUCGAGCGGGGAAGGGUAGCUUGCUACCUAACCUAGCGGCGGACGGGUGAGUAAUGCUUAGGAAUCUGCCUAUUAGUGGGGGACGACAUUCCGAAAGGAAUGCUAAUACCGCAUACGCCCUACGGGGGAAAGCAGGGGAUCUUCGGACCUUGCGCUAAUAGAUGAGUCUAAGUCAGAUUAGCUAGUUGGUGGGGUAAAGGCCUACCAAGGCGACGAUCUGUAGCGGGUCUGAGAGGAUGAUCCGCCACACUGGGACUGAGACACGGCCCAGACUCCUACGGGAGGCAGCAGUGGGGAAUAUUGGACAAUGGGCGAAAGCCUGAUCCAGCCAUGCCGCGUGUGUGAAGAAGGCCUUUUGGUUGUAAAGCACUUUAAGCGAGGAGGAGGCUACCGAGAUUAAUACUCUUGGAUAGUGGACGUUACUCGCAGAAUAAGCACCGGCUAACUCUGUGCCAGCAGCCGCCGUAACAC
rnacentral:rRNA from 1 species